UCACAAAAGAAGUGAAUAUGCCCUGCCCCACCUUGACUGAUGACAUUCCACCACAAAAGAAGUGUAAAUGGCCAGUCCUUGCCUUAACUGAUGACAUUACCUUGUGAAAGUCCUUUUCCUGGCUCAUCCUGGCUCAAAAAGCACCCCCACUGAGCACCUUGCGGCCCCCACUCCUGCCCGCCAGAGAACAAACCCGCUUUGACUGUAAUUUUCCUUUACCUACCCAAAUCCUAUAAAACGGCCCCACCCUUAUCUCCCUUCACUGACUCUCUUUUCGGACUCAGCCCACCUGCACCCAGGUGAAAUAAACAGCCACGUUGCUCACACAAAGCAUGUUUGGUGGUCUCUUCACACAGACGCGCAAGAAAUCUGGUGCCAUGACUUGGAUCGGGGGACCUCUCUUGGGAGAUCAAUCCCCUGUCCUCCUGUUCUUUGCUCCAUGAGAAAGAUCCACCUAUGACCUCAGGUCCUCAGACCAACCAGCCCAAGAAACAUCUCACCAAUUUCAAAUCCGGUAAGCGGCCUCUUUUUACUCUCUUCUCCAACCUCCCUCACUAUCCCUCAACCUCUUUCUCCUUUCAAUCUUGGUGCCACACUUCAAUCUCUCCCUUAAUUUCAAUUCCUUUCAUUUUCUGGUAGAGACAAAGGAGACACAUUUUAUCCGUGGACCCAAAACUCGGGCGCCAGUCAUGGACUGGGAAGGCAGCCUUCCCUUGGUGUUUAAUCAUUGCAGGGACACCUCUCUGACUAUUCACCCACGUUUCAAAGGUGUCAGACCACGCAGGGACGCCUGCCUUGGUCCUUCACCCUUAGCGGCAAGUCCCGCUUUUCUGGAGAAGAGGGAAGUACCCCAACCCCUUCUCUCCUUGUCUCUACCCCUGUUCUGCUUUUCUGGGAGAGGGGCAAGUACUCCUCAACCCCUUCUCCUUCACCCUUAGCGGCAAGUCCCGCUUUUCUAGGGGGCAAGAACCCCCAAUCCCUUAUUUCCGUGCCCCAACCUCUUAUCUCUGCACCCAAUCCCUUAUUUCCAUGCCCCAACCUCUUAUAUCUCUGUGCCCCAAUCCCUUCUUUCCGCACCCCUACCUCUUAUAUCUCUGCACCCCAAUCCCUUAUUUCCACACCCCAACUUCUUAUCUCUGUGCCCCAAUCCCUUAUUUCAGUGUCCCAACCCAUUCUCUGCUUUUCUGGAGGGCGAGAAACCCCCACCCCUUCUCCGUGUCUCUACUCUUUUCUCUAGGCUUGCCUCCUUCACUAUGGGCAAGCUUCCACCUUCCAUUCCUCCUCCUUCUCCCUUAGCCUGUAUUCUUAAGAACUUAAAACCUCUUCAACUCUCACCUGACAUAAAAUCUAAGUGUCUUAUUUUCUUGUGCAAUGCCACUUGACCCCAAUACAAACUCCACAGUAGUUCCAAAUAGCCGGAAAACGGCACUUUCAAUUUUUCCAUCCUACAAGAUCUAAAUAAUUCUUGUAGUAAAAUAGGCAAAUGGUCUGAGGUGCCUGACGUACAGGCAUUCUUUUACACAUCAGUCCCUUCCUAGUCUCUGUGCCCAGUGCAACUCCUCCCAAAUCUUCUUUCCCUCCCGCCUGUCCCCUCGGUACCAACCCCAAGCGUCGCUGAGUCUUUCUAAUCUUCCUUUUCUACAGACCCAUCUGACCUCUCCCCUCCUUGCGAGGCCGAGCUAGGUCCCAAUUCUUCCUCAGCCUCUGCUCCUCCACCCUGUAAUCUUUUUAUCACCUCCCCUCUUCACACCUGGUCUGGCUUACAGUUUCAUUCCAUGACUAGCCCUCCCCCACCUGCCCAGCAAUUUACUCUUAAAAAGGUGGCUGGAGCCAAAGGCAUAGUCAAGGUUAAUGCUCCUUUUUCUUUAUCCCAAAUCAGAAGCGUUUAGGCUUUUUCAUCAAAUAUAAAAACCCAGCCCAGUUCAUGGCUCAUUCGGCAGCAACCCUGAGACGCUUUACAGCCCUAGACCCUAAAAGAUGAAAAGGCCAUCUUAUUCUCAAUAUACAUUUUAUUACCCAAUCUGCUCCUGACAUUAAAUAAAACUCCAAAAAUUAGAAUCUGCCCCUCAAACCCCACAAGAGGACUUAAUUAACUCACCUUCAAGGUGUACAAUAAUAGAAAAAAGCUGCAAUUCCUUGCCUCCACUGUGAGACAAACCCAGCCACAUCUCCAGCACACAAGAACUUCCAAAUGCCUGAACCGCAGUGGCCAGGCGUUCCUCCAGAACCUCCUCCCCCAGGAGCUUGCUACAAGUGCCAGAAAUCUGACCACCAGGGCAAGGAAUGCCUGCAGCCCAGGAUUCCUCCUAAGCCAUGUCCCAUCUGUGCGGGACCCCACUGGAAAUCAGACUGUUCAACUCACCUGGUAGCCACUCCCAGAGCCCCUGGAACUCUGGCCCAAGGCUCUCUGACUGACUCCUCCUUGGCUUAGCGGCUGAAGACUGAUGCUGCCCGAUCACCUCGAAAGCCCCGUAGGCCAUCACAAACGCCGAGCUUCGAGUAACUCUCACAAUGGAAGUCUCCCUCUCUCCCCUUUCUUUCUUUCUUUGGUCUCCCUCUGUUGCCAAGGCUGGACUGUACUGCCGUGGUCUCGGGUCACUGCAGCCUCCCUGCCCCGGGCUCCCGUGGUUCUCCUGCCUCGGCCUGCCAAGUGCCUGGGAUUGCGGGCGGGCGCCGCCACGCCUGACUGGUUUUUGUAUUUUUGGAGGAGACGGGGUUUCGCCCUGUUGACCGGGCUGGUCUCUGGCUCCUGACCUCGAGUGGUCUGCCCGCCUUGGCCUCCCGGGGUGCUGGGAUUGCAGACGGAGUCUUGCUCACUCAAUGCUCAGUGUUGCCCAGGCUGGAGUGCAGUAGCGUGAUCUCGGCUCGCCACAACCUCCACCUUCCAGCCACCUGCCUUGGCCUCCCAAAGUGCUAAGAUUACAGCCUCUGCCCAGCCACCACCCCGUCUGGGAAGUGGGGAGCAUCUCUGCCUGGCCGCCCAUCGUCUGGGAUGUGGGGAGCCCCUCUGCCCAGCCGCCCCAUCUGGGAAGUGAGGGGCGCCUCUGCCUGGCCGCCACCCUGUCUGCGAAGUGAGGAGCGUCUCUGCCUGGCUGCCCAUCGUCUGGGAAGUGAGGAGCCUCUCUGCCCGGCAGCCCAUCAUCUGGGAUGUGAGGAGCGCCUCUGCCUGGCCACCACCCCGUCUGGAAUGUGAGGAGUGCCUCUGCCUGGCUGCCCCAUCUGGGAAGCGAGGAGCGCCUCUACCCGGCCGCCCCAUCUGGGAAGCGAGGAGGGCCUCUGCCCGGCCGCCCCGUCUGGGAAGCGAGGAGCGCCUCUACCCGGCCGCCCCAUCUGGGAAGUGAGGAGGGCCUCUGCCCGGCCGCCCCGUCUGGGAAGCGAGGAGCGCCUCUACCCGGCCGCCCCAUCUGGGAAGUGAGGAGGGCCUCUGCCCGGACACCCCAUCUGGGAAGCGAGGAGCGCCUCUGCCCGGCCGCCCCAUCUGGGAAGCGAGGAGCGCCUCUGCCCGGCUGCCCCAUCUGGGAAGUGAGGAGCGCCUCUGCCCGGCCGCCCAUCGUCUGGGAAGUGAGGAGCGCCUCUGCCCGGCCGCCCAUCGUCUGGGAUGUGAGGAGCGCCUCUGCCCGGCCGCCCCGUCUGGGAGGUGGGGAGCGCCUCUGCCCGGCCGCCCUUCGUCUGGGAGGUGGGGAGCGCCUCUGCCCGGCCGCCCCGUCUGGGAAGUGGGAGCCUCUGCACGGCCACCCCGUCUGGGAGGUGAGGGGCGUCUCUGACCGGCCGCCCUGUCUGGGAGGUGAGGAGUGCCUCUGCCCGGCCGCCCUUCAUCUGGGAGGUGGGGAGCGCCUCUGCCCAGCCGCCCCGUCUGGGAAGUGUACCCAACAGCUCCAAAGAGACAGUGACCAUUGAGAACAGGCCAUGAUGACGAUGGCGGUUUUGUCGAAAAGAAAAGGGGGAAAUGUGGGGAAAAGAAAGAGAGAUCAGAUUGUUACUGUGUCUAUGUAGAAAGAAGUUGACAUAGGAGACACCAUUUUGUUCUGUACUAAGAAAAAUUCUUCUGCCUUGGGAUGCUGUUAAUCUAUAACCUUAACCCCAACCCCGUGCUCUCUGAAACAUGUGCUGUGUCAACUCAGGGUUAAAUGGAUUAAGGGCAGUGCAAGAUGUGCUUUGUUAAACAGAUGCUUGAAGGCAGCAUGCUUGUUAAGAGUCAUCACCACUCCCUAAUCUCAAGUACCCAGGGACACAAACACUAUGGAAGUCCGCAGGGACCUCUGCCUAGGAAAACCAGAGACCUUUGUUCACCUGUUUAUCUGCUGACCUUCUCUCCACUAUUACCCUAUGACCCUGCCACAUCCCCAUCUCUGAGAAACACCCAAGAAUGAUCAAUAAAUACCGGAAAAAAAAAAGAAAAAAAAAAGAAAACCAGAUCUAAUCAUUGAUGUCAAAAGCUUAGAAAAAGAACAAAAAUUAAACACUAUGAAAUAGAAGGUCGGCAAUAAUAAAAGUAAAAGCAGAAGUUAAUGAAAUGUCCUAUAAAGUACAACAGAGAAAAUCAGUAUUAUUAAGGAUUUUGUUGUUGUUGUAUUUUUAGCAAAACUGACUUGAGAUGGAAUAGAAAAAUCUAUUUUUUUAAUUUUUUGUUUGUUUAUUUGUUUAUUUAUUUAUUUGUGAGACAGAGUCGCACUCUGUUGCCCUGGCUGGAAUGCAGCAGUGCAAUCUUGGGUCACUGCAACCUCCACUUCCCCAGUUCAAGCGAUUCUCCCAUCUCAGCCCCUUGAGUAGUUGGGAUUACUGGUGCCUGCCACCAGGCCUGGCUUAUUCUUGUAUUUUUAAUAGAGACAGGGUUUCACCAUGUUGGCCAGGCUGGUCUGGAACUCCUGACCUCAAGUGACCCCUCUGCCUUGGCCUCUCAAAGUGUUGGGAUUACGGGCAUGAGCCACUGCAUCUCCCCUGACUGUUUAAAUACUUUUGCCCUGCCUCACCUCCACGGGGUUAACCUCUUUAUACAAUCAUUGCUACGACAACUAUCUGUGCCCAAAUAUGUGGCGAUAACACCUUGACUGCCCUACACAACUCAUCUUUGCUUUUUGCCUUGUCUUUAUCUAAAACAACAGUCAGGACACAGCAGAAACCAGCUUAGCUUUAAAGUAUGUAUAGCUCAGAAGUGUAAGCAUAAGGAAGUUAACAUCUCAUAUGACAACCUUUGACCAAUGGGUGCACAGACACUAAUGAAUGAACAUUUAUCAUUUCCAGGACUAAGACAGACAACUUUCAGGUGCAGUCUUCACACCAACCUAUCAACUCCCAGGGGAUCAAACCACAACCAUCUAGAAUGGUUAACAGCUUGAUUAUAUAGAUUUGUUUCAGCUUUCCUCCUUCUCUCUCAAUUUCCCUAGUCCCUCACUCCUGUUCUAUGGGCUACCUUACUAACUAAAUUACCUUCUUCCAAGUCAUUGUCCCAGGAUCUUUCUUUGUUUUUCCUCUUUUUUUUUUGAAUCUAAGGGAAGACUAUCCAAUACAAAAUACAAUUUUAAGAACUUUGGAUCUGUAAUUUUAAAUCUGUCACAGAAAACUCUAGGACAUAUUCACUUUAUAAGUGAAUGCUGCAGAUUGUAAACAAAUUUUCCCAAAGAAUAGGAAAAGAGGAAACAUUUUCAAACUCUUUAUUUUUGUGUAUUUAUUUAUUUGAGACAGGGUCUUGCUCUGUUGCCUAGGUAAGAGUGGAGUGGUGCAAUCAUGGCUCACUGCCUCAACCUCCCGGGCCCAGAUGAUUCUCCCACAUCAGCCUCCCAAGUAGCUGCGGACCACAGGCAUGCACCACCAUGCCCAGCUAAUUUUUUAUAUUUUGUAGAGAGAGGAUCUCACUGUGUUGCCCAUGCUUGUCUAGAACUCCUGAGCUCAAGCAAUCCUUCCACUUUGGCCUCUGAAAUUGUUGAAAUUACAGGCAUGAGCCACCAGGACCAGUCAAAUGUUCAAAUUUGUUAUAUAAGGUGAGCAUAACCUUGACAUCAAACCUUGAUGAGAAUAAAAGAAAACUUUAGGCCAAUCUCUUUCACAAAAAUAGAUAUGAAAAAUUCUAAACAAAAGACUAGCAAACUGAAUUCAGAAAUAAACAAGGACAAUGCAUCACAACCUGUUUAGAAUUAUUUCAGUAACGGAAAUAUAGUUCAUUAAACAUUUGAAAAGUUCAUCAAUACCAUUCACCAUAUCAAAGGAAGAAGAAUCAUACAAUGAAUUCAAUAAAUACAAAAUAAAUAUUUUUUAAAAUUCGAAAAACUUUCAUGAUAAAAAUAUUUAGCAUGCUAUAAGUAGAAUAAAAAUUUUAUUAUCUUACAGAGCUGUCAAAUUAUGAAGGUCCAAAACUCCUAAAGCAAAUGCCAUAUAUAAUGGUAAAAUGUUGAAAACUUUCCCUCUAACUUUCAGAAUAAGGCAAGAGUACCCACUCUCAUUAAAACAGAAUCAAUAAUGGGAAAAAUUAAAAUCAUGUAUCAACUGAUAGGAUGCAAUAAGAACACAGUGUCACCUUUGCAAUAUUCCUGUCAAUAUAAAUAACCUAAUAAUCAGACAAAUACUGAUGGAAGGACCUUCCACAAUAGAAGUGCCUUAUGAUCUUCAAACAUGUAAAAGGUAAAAAGAAUGAAAGAAAAGAUAAAGAAUCAAUCAAGACCAAGAGAGAUUAAAGAAACAUGAUAAACUGUAACUAAUAUGUGAUUCUGAACUGGAGUUUUUGCUGGAAAAGGCAUUAUUCAGACAUUUGGUGAAACCUUCAUUGCAUGAGUUGUAGAUGAUAGUAAUAUAUCAAUAUUUAUUUCCCGCUACUGAUGGUUGUACUAAAUUUAUUUAUGCGAAAUUUUUGUUUGUAAGCAAGUAUUAUAGCCUAAUAGGCUUUAAACUUUUGUUCUUAUAUGGUUUGGAGACAGGGGUGGUAGGGAGUACUCUCUAUUGCAUGUGAAACUUUUCUAGAAGUUGGCAAUUGUUCUUAAAAAGUCCUAGAAUUAUCAGGAAGGCCUUUAUUGUUAAGGUAACUUUACUUUUUUAGUUAUUUGAAUAACUUACCGAUUUCAAAUUUGGCUUCUGUAGAGUUAGAGUUUGCAUAUAUGAUCUUUUCCAGGGUUUUAACUGAAUCAAAUUCAUCAGUGUUUUAGAAUCAGCUUUUUCAGGCAUAAAUUAAAGCAUGGGUAUUUACUUUUUAACUCCCUUACCUUUAUCAUUAACCAGGAUUUUUUGAAAAAUCUUUUUGAAUUUUUGCUUUAUGCUCUAAAAAUUUAUUACAUUUAUUAUAUAUGUUCAUAAAUCUGUAUUGGUAUAAUAAUGUAAUUAGAUAUGACACAAUCAAAAAACAUAAACAGUGCCUGAAAGAUUUUGCUAUUUAAACUUAAUAAACUCUAUCCUUAAAUGUG
rnacentral:lncRNA from 10 species